rnacentral:rRNA from 1 species
AACGAACGCUGGCGGCAUGCCUAACACAUGCAAGUCGAACGAUGCCUCCGGGCAUAGUGGCGCACGGGUGCGUAACGCGUGGGAAUCUGCCCUUGGGUUCGGAAUAACUCGCCGAAAGGCGAGCUAAUACCGGAUGAUGACGUAAGUCCAAAGAUUUAUCGCCCAAGGAUGAGCCCGCGUAGGAUUAGCUAGUUGGUGGGGUAAAGGCCCACCAAGGCAACGAUCCUUAGCUGGUCUGAGAGGAUGAUCAGCCACACUGGGACUGAGACACGGCCCAGACUCCUACGGGAGGCAGCAGUGGGGAAUAUUGGACAAUGGGCGAAAGCCUGAUCCAGCAAUGCCGCGUGAGUGAUGAAGGCCUUAGGGUUGUAAAGCUCUUUUACCCGGGAUGAUAAUGACAGUACCGGGAGAAUAAGCUCCGGCUAACUCCGUG